GCCUACUUUCCCCCCGCACUUUGCUACCCAUGUGCUGAGCCCGAUGUGGAUUCCGUCACAAGGUCAGAAACGGAGGGCAGUGAGAGCCAAGUAGCUAGUGGACAGCACAUCUUCUAUACCUUUCAUCCCUACCAUCUUUUCUCCUCCCUCUGCUCAGAACACAACCUCUUACUGCGCGCAGACUCAGAACGGUCUCAAACUCGCAUUUGCUCAAUAAGUCCCUGUUGACAGAGUGCACCCACAAAGGCCUGUCUGGACAGGUUUCAGAAGAGCACAAGAAACACAAAAGAUGGAGAGGAUUUAUUUAAUCCACAAGAUGGCCCUGAACAAUGUAUUUCAUCGGCUACCAAGAACAUGGACUUCCCAGUUACACUCAGCAUUUCACUGUAUCAUUUUAUAUGAAAUACUAUGAAUACAGCAAUGACCCAUGUUGCAGGGGAAGAAUUUUUUUAAAACGUCUUUUAAAAUAUUCUGGAAUAUUUUAGUCGCCUUUAAAAACUGUUUUGUAAAACUAGUGCUAGUUUUCUUGAUUGAUGUGUAAUAGGGAUG